GCUUCCGUAAUUAAAUGGAUAUAAUACCUCCCUCCUAAGGAGGCUUUGUGGGUUCGAUUCCCGCCGGGAGUACCA
rnacentral:tRNA from 1 species